rnacentral:rRNA from 1 species
GGCCACCUGGUCAGAAACUGACGCUGAGGUACGAAAGCGUGGGGAGCAAACAGGUAUUAGAUACCCUGGUAGUCCACGCCGUAAACGAUGUCAACUAGUUGUUCGUCUUAUAAACAAGGUGAGUAACGCAGCUAACGCACUAAGUUGACCGCCUGGGGAGUACGGCCGCAAGGUUAAAACUCAAAUGAAUUGACGGGGGCCCGCACAAGCGGUGGAGCAUGUGGUUUAAUUCGAUGCAACGCGAAGAACCUUACCAUCCCUUGACAUCCAGUGAAUUAUCUAGAGAUAGAUGAGUGCCUUCGGGAACACUGAGACAGGUGCUGCAUGGCUGUCGUCAGCUCGUGUUGUGAGAUGUUGGGUUAAGUCCCGCAACGAGCGCAACCCUUAUCCUUAGUUGCCAGCACGUAAUGGUGGGAACUCUGGGGAGACUGCCGGUGAUAAACCGGAGGAAGGUGGGGACGACGUCAAGUCAUCAUGGCCCUUACGGGAUGGGCUACACACGUGCUACAAUGGCGCGUACAAUGGGAAGCAAGCUAGCGAUAGUAAGCGGAUCUCAAAAAGCGCGUCGUAGUCCGGAUCGGAGUCUGCAACUCGACUCCGUGAAGUCGGAAUCGCUAGUAAUCGUGGAUCAGAAUGCCACGGUGAAUACGUUCCCGGGCCUUGUACACACCGCCCGUCACACCAUGGGAGUGGGCUGCACCAGAAGUAGAUAGCUUAACCCUUCGGGAGGGCGUUUACCACGGUGUGUUUCAUGACUGGGGGUGAAGUCGUAACAAGGUAACC